rnacentral:rRNA from 1 species
GUUUCUGACGGCACUGCCCCAUUUACCUGUGUUUUUGACGGAGGUUUCAAGGUGGCUUUAAACGGCUGUCUUGGUACGCCGUCAGGUUUACUUUGAAAAAAUUAGAGUGCUCAAAGCAGGCUACAAAGCUUGAAUAUUUGUGCAUGGAAUAAUGGAAUAGGAAGUCGUUUCUAUUUUUUUUGGUUUUCGGAAAUUGACUUAAUGAUUAAUAGGGACAGCCGGGGGCAUUAGUACUCAGACGACAGAGGUGAAAUUCUUGGACCGUUUGAGGACUAACUACUGCGAAAGCAUUUGCCAAGAGUGUUUUCAUUAAUCAAGAACGAAAGUUAGAGGUUCGAAGGCGAUCAGAUACCGCCCUAGUUCUAACCAUAAACGAUGCUGACUAGCGAUCCGUAGCUGUUUUCUAUGUAGGCUCUACGGGAAGCUUCCGGGAAACCAAAGUUUUUGAGUUCCGGGGGAAGUAUGGUUGCAAAGCUGAAACUUAAAGGAAUUGACGGAAGGGCACCACCAGGAGUGGAGCCUGCGGCUUAAUUUGACUCAACACGGGAAAUCUCACCAGGCCCGGACACUGGAAGGAUUGACAGAUUGAGAGCUCUUUCUCGAUUCAGUGGGUGGUGGUGCAUGGCCGUUCUUAGUUGGUGGAGUGAUUUGUCUGGUUAAUUCCGA